UAACGAUCCAGGCAGCUUUUUCCCCAAAACCAAAUACACAUAACAGUUAGGAAAGCUGCAAGUUUUCGCAGUUGGCCAAAAACGUCCAGUUUCAGCGGUGAGCCAGAAAAUUCCUGCGAAAGGCUGUCGUGGCAAGUGUUACCCGCACACAUACACACAUUAUCCAGACCAGAUCCAGAUCCAGCCAAUCCCCCCGUGGAGUGGAGUGAAAAUUCAUUGACGACUGGGGGCGAAAAAGCUCUGGCGGAAUAGAGAGCACGGCGGCACUGAGAGCACAACCCUCUAGAACAAAAACAACGAAACAGAGUUCAGCUGCACCACCACCCACUAUCGCCCACCACCACCACCACCCGCUACACCACCUCCAUUCCGACCUGCGGCAGUGCAAGACAGUGAAAGAGGCCAAGUGCAUAUAGUGUGACUAGCAGAGUACCUUCAUUCUAAUCAUCGCCAGCCGAAUUUGUUGAGGCCACCACAGCACCACCAACUAACUACAGCCACAACCACACAGCCACCAGAGACAUGGCGGACGCUGCACCAGCUGGCGAUGCACCACCAAACGCCGGAGCUCCGUCCGGAGAGGGCGGCGAUGGCGAGAUUGUGGGCGGACCACACAAUCCGCAGCAGAUUGCGGCACAGAAGCGUCUGCAGCAGACGCAGGCGCAGGUCGAUGAGGUCGUGGACAUCAUGCGCACGAACGUGGAGAAGGUGCUGGAGCGCGACAGUAAGCUGUCGGAGCUGGACGAUCGCGCUGAUGCCUUGCAGCAGGGCGCCUCGCAGUUUGAGCAGCAGGCGGGAAAGCUAAAGAGGAAAUUCUGGCUGCAGAACUUGAAGAUGAUGAUCAUCAUGGGCGUGAUUGGCCUGGUUGUCGUGGGCAUUAUUGCAAAACCGUACAUGUCGGAUGAUAAUGCUGCUGCGCAGCCUCCUGCCUCGCAGCAGCAGGUGGCUCCGGCAUCGGCAACUGCACCAGAUUCAGCACCACAACAACCACAACAACUACUACAACAACAACAACAACAACUACAACCACACCACCAUACACAAAAAUCUGAACCACCGACACUCGAGAAACCAUUGGCCGAGAAAUUGACCGAACUACCACAGAGUCCGUCGGAUGAAGUGGCGACUGGACAAUAAACGAUAUUGAAAAACCUGAAAACCUGAAAAAACAACCAACCGAACAGCAACAACAACAAAAAACUAAUCAGCCAUCGAUUAACCACCAAGCCGCAUCCGUAGAACCAUAGUCAAAAUUAACCAAAAAUGAAAAGAAAACAUUUCACACUUUCUUUGUACCAUUGAAAAAUACGAUCUAAUCUGAUACACUAUAAACUUGGCCUCAUAGGCGGAGAGCAGCCGCCACAGUACCAGUACCCCCCACAGUACAUGCAGCCACCGCCGCCGCCGCCGCAGCAGCC